rnacentral:tRNA from 1 species
UCCGCGGUAGCUCAACGGUAGAGCGACUGGCUGUUAACCAGUGGGUUGCAGGUCCGAAUCCUGCCCGCGGAG